GACGAACGCUGGCGGCGUGCCUAAUACAUGCAAGUAGAACGCACAGUUUAUAUCGUAGCUUGCUACACCAUAGACUGUGAGUUGCGAACGGGUGAGUAACGCGUAGGUAACCUGCCUGGUAGCGGGGGAUAACUAUUGGAAACGAUAGCUAAUACCGCAUAAUAUUAAUUAUUGCAUGAUAAUUAAUUGAAAAGUGCAAUUGCACCACUACCAGAUGGACCUGCGUUGUAUUAGCUAGUAGGUGAGGUAACGGCUCACCUAGGCGACGAUACAUAGCCGACCUGAGAGGGUGAUCGGCCACACUGGGACUGAGACACGGCCCAGACUCCUACGGGAGGCAGCAGUAGGGAAUCUUCGGCAAUGGACGAAAGUCUGACCGAGCAACGCCGCGUGAGUGAAGAAGGUUUUCGGAUCGUAAAGCUCUGUUGUAAGAGAAGAACGGGUGUGAGAGUGGAAAGUUCACACUGUGACGUAUCUACCAGAAAGG
rnacentral:rRNA from 1 species